CAGCCUCACUUUUUCAAGCACCGAGCGUUCCCUUCGAGCGGGGAGACCAGGCUUCCACAACGGAAGUGACUAACCGGAAGUGGUCCCACAGAAGCGGGAGCAUCCGGCUUCACAGGGGUUCUCUGCAGUCUCAGCAAAAGGCACAAAUUCCGAAAGGUUGCUGCCAGUCCUUGAGGGAACUCAGAAGGAGGAGGCUGGAGGUCGGCCUUUCGCGCCUGAUUUUCUCGGUCAUUUCCAGAACCUAGGUCUUAGCGCCAGGCACUGAGUGCCGAAUGCAGAGGGCGGUUUGGACAGUCAGCCAGGUUGGGGCGGCUGAUGGGCAUGAUGGACUUUGAGGAUUUGAGUGUACAUCACUCCCAAGAAGAAUGUGUGAGCUCAGAGCCUGUUUGCAAACCAACUCAGAGAAGGAAAAUAAUAGUCACGUUGGGGAGAUGAUGUCACUGGCAGACAAUGGGAGUAAUGACAGGGAUGAAGAUCUUCAGAAACAAGAUUGUAGAGAGAAAUCUUCAGAUACUGAUGCAGUGGCUUGUUUCUGGGUUUCUAAGUGACCUCCAGAUUGCCAAGAAGAAAGAACAAACACACCCAUUCCACAGCAGAAGGAAAUUGAGAAGCCUUCUAGUUACAGUUGAAAAUAAUGCUCUACCUGAAGAUCUCUCAAAAUAUGUGGGCAUUAAUAUUACUGUGCUUUCUCAAGAUGAGAAAACAAAGGCGUUGUACAUGUGCCCUGUGUGGGAAGCAGUUUUAUGAAAGUUCUUACCUUAUUUCCCACCAGAGGAGUCACACUGGUGAGAAGCCCCAUGACUGUAGCCACUGUGAGAAAGGAUUCAAUCAUAAAACAAACCUUAAUAAGCAUAAGUGAAUCCAUACAGGGGAGAAACGCUAUUCCUGCUCUCAGUGUAAGAAAAACUCAUCAGAAUUUUCAUCAGAGUUGCCAUAAAGGAAUUCAUGUAGGGAAGAAAAUAUUUAAGUGUCCAGAAUGUGGGGAAAACCUUCCCCCAAAAUGAAGAAUUUAUGUUUCAUCUGCAGAGUCAUGAGGCUGGGAGACCAUAU
rnacentral:lncRNA from 1 species